rnacentral:lncRNA from 1 species
GGUGCAGCUUUGCCUGAAGGGCCCUAGGAAACACAGCAGGAGUAAAGUGAACUUUGGUGUUCAGACAGGCAGCAGAAUUCAUCAGUUGUCUGGUCUAGAGAACUUGGUGCUGACCUACAUCAACACUAUCAACAGUAGGGAUUUGCCAUUCAUGGAGAACAAAGUCCUGGCACUGCCCAGACAGAGAAUGCAGCUGCAAUAAAAAAGGUCCUUGCCCACUAUGAAAA